rnacentral:snRNA from 1 species
GUGCAGCACAUACACUAAAAAAUUGGAACUGUAUAGAGAUUAGCAUGGCUCCUGCCCAAAGAUGACAUGCAGAUUCAUGAAUCGUUCCAUAUUUUU